AAAAAAAAAAUCUAUGUAUUAAAUAAGCUCAGUGGCUUAUUACAUAAAUGGAAACAUAACAUAAACUUCUAAGUAAUAAUGGACCAUGUAAACUUUUACAGAAGCCCGUGGUCUUAAAGAGACCUCAUCUAAUUAAAGAAAACAACCUUAACUUGUAUUGCUUUAGUGUAUUAUUUUUUGUCAUAAAAAUCUGACUGUUACUUACCCUGAUCAUCUUAACUCUAGAUUAUAACAAAAGGGGCCAACGGGUAACCCAGAAAAAUCAUGGGGUGAAAUGCAAACCCUCUCAAGUAUCAGUGCUUCUGAAGUUCUUUAGGUUCAGAUUCCAAAUGACAGGAAACUGAACAAAUUAUUAAAUGUAGCAGAAAACAAUAUGAACAAUAGGUAGAUUUUACACUUCUGUUCUCCAUCUGCUGUCUUCUAGGCUAAGGAGACCUGCUCCUUCCUACAGCUGCAGCCUCGACUGACCCUCCUAUCUUCCAUCACGCUUCUGUGUCCCUGGGGUGGGUGCUGCAGUCUACACAGGCCCGGACCCGUGGAGGCUGCCUCCAAGGGGGCUCUUCUCCUGUGUCUCCAGCCCCACGGCCGGCUCCCUCCUCCAGUGGGACAAGUAGUCACAGCACCACACCUCCUCUCGCCCUUUACAGAAGGGAGCCUCCCUCCGCAAAGCCGUCUCCCACUCUGCCCCACACCACAGGGCCGCCGUCUUCCCUCCCUGCCCCCACACCACAGGGCAGCCAUCUUCCCUCUCUGCCCCCACGUUACAGGGCCGCCAACUUCCCUCCCUGCCCCCACGUCACAGGGCAGCCUGCAUGGUUCAUAAAAAUUGUGCCCCCCCGCGCCCAAUGCUGUAACUCUAAACACCUCAAACACUUGUUCCUGUUCAACAACUCAAAAUAAAGUGGAAAAGUACAUUCUAAAACAUUGUUUCACUUCUCAGUCCAAAAAUGGUCAGAGGUUAAAAAUUCAGUUCUCCAGACCUUUCUGGUCUCAUCUACAGAUCUCUUAUGACCCUGAUAAAGAAGGGUGAUGGGUUUCUUGACUUCAGCUGUGCUAAAGGUAGGGGGAUUGACAUUUAUGUCUACACCAAGAGAUAAAAAGGCCCAGCUUCUUCCUUAUUCUUAUUUCUGGCCAAAGCAGAUAUCCUUCCUUAUAAUUACUUGGGCUAUUGCUAUUAUAGCCAUCAUUUUCACUAUUUACUAUUAUGGGUAUUUAGAGGCUCAUAAAAAUGUGAGCUUCCUCAAUGCUUAAACAGCACGAGAGAUAAAUCAGAAGCACAGAGCUUUGGCUGACACCGGAUGAGACCUGACUGGGAACAGCUGGAUUGCUCUCUUGACUAAAUAUUUACAAAAGGCGUGAUUAUAUCACGGAGCGACACUGUGCGAAUAUAACAAUUUAUCAAUCAUCUUGUUUAACA
rnacentral:lncRNA from 1 species